CCAACGGGGGGCAGCAGUGGGGAAUAUUGGACAAUGGGGGCAACCCUGAUCCAGCCAUGCCGCGUGUGUGAAGAAGGCCCUCGGGUUGUAAAGCACUUUCAGUGAGGAAGAACGCCUGGUGGUUAAUACCCAUCAGGAAAGACAUCACUCACAGAAGAAGCACCGGCUAACUCCGUGCCAGCAGCCGCGGUAAUACGGAGGGUGCGAGCGUUAAUCGGAAUUACUGGGCGUAAAGCGCGCGUAGGUGGCUUGAUAAGCCGGUUGUGAAAGCCCCGGGCUCAACCUGGGAACGGCAUCCGGAACUGUCAAGCUAGAGUGCAGGAGAGGAAGGUAGAAUUCCCGGUGUAGCGGUGAAAUGCGUAGAGAUCGGGAGGAAUACCAGUGGCGAAGGCGGCCUUCUGGACUGACACUGACACUGAGGUGCGAAAGCGUGGGUAGCAAACAGGAUUAGAUACCCGAGUAGUC
rnacentral:rRNA from 1 species